UACAUACUCUCUCCGUCCCAUAUUAAGUGACUCAAAUUUGUCCAGAUAUGGAUGUAUAAAUGGCUAAAAAACGUUUAGAUACAUUAAUAGGAAGUCACUUAAUAUGGGACGGAGCGAGUAUACA
rfam:Brachypodium distachyon strain Bd21 chromosome 1, whole genome shotgun sequence.